AGAUGGCCAUCCUGCGACUAUGCUAACCGCGUAGUCGCGUACUACUAUUCUUCUUCCACCGCCCAUUUCUGCCGUUUUCUUUUUCUUAUUCUCUAAUGAGUUUCGUUCUGAGAUAAGGUCUUCUCACGAUUAUCAUUUUUAGGGAUUAAUUUGAUAUUUUUUUGGUUAUAGAAGUUCCAAUUUGAUUUAAAUUUUGGAUUUACCAAGUGAAACUUACAAAAGAAAAAAAAAACACGAGGAAGUUUGGGUUUAAUUAGAGUUGAUGACUUGAAAUUCUAAGUGGAAACAAUGAAGAAGGGACCUGUCCUUAGGCGGGUAUCAGUUCGAGACCUUGCGGAUAAGUUCGAGAAAGGCUUCGCUGAUGCUGAGGCUGUUGGAAAAUCUGAUGAGUCUAAACUUAGAGAAUUAGUUGCAUUGGAAAGACAUGUUCUUCUGGAGAAGCUAAAUAGUGCACUUGGAUCCUUGCAAGUCCGCGUAACUGAUCGAACUAAAGAUGAUGUAGAUGAAGCUAUUUCUAUGGUGGCAGAUUUAUCUGUCAAGUUGAAACAAAGUGACGGAGAGUUUUCUCAAGAAAAGGAGCAUGUGAAGAUACUAGCAGAUUUUCUCAAGCAGGCUAUAGAAGAUACUAAAAGACUCGUUGACGAGGAAAAAAACUUUGCUCGUCAUGAGAUUGAGAUUGCUAAAGCUGCAGUGCAGAGAGUUGAAGAGGCAUUUCAGGAGCAACAGAGAAUACCUAUAACAUCUGACAAUUUGGGGUCUGAAGAUUUAAUGAAGGAGGUUCAAGACGCUAGAAGAAUUAAAAUGCUGCAUCAACACAGCAAGGUACUGGAGAUGGAACUUGAACUUCAAGAAUUAAGAAUCCAGCUUGCGGAGAUGUCCACAUAUUCUAAUCAGCUUCUUAAGGAGCUCACAAUGAGUAAGGGCCUUGAGGAAAACAAGUGCUACUUGUAUGAAUUGGAUGGCCCUGAAAUUCUGGGUUCCUAUCUGUGCAUCACUCCACGCACAGAAACAGCUCCACAUCUUUCAGAGUGUUCAGUCCAAUGGUAUCGUAUAUGUUCUAAAGAUAAGGAGAAAAAAAUUAUUUCAGGGGCAACAAAAUUGGUUUAUGCUCCAGAGCCGUUUGAUGUUGGGCAAAUCUUACUAGCAGAUAUUGUUGUAAAUAGCGAAAGACUCAGUGUGCAAACCAACGGUCCCAUCGGUCCAGCUCCAGGGUUGGGAAGCUAUAUAGAGGAGCUCGUAAGGAUAUCCGAAACCGAGUUUAAUGUAGUUGUUAUCCAGAUGAACGAAGAGAUUUAUUCAGUGCAUUCUGUUCACGUAUUUCACGUGGGGAAGAUGAGGGUGAAGCUUUCUGAAGGAAGAUUUGUCAAGGCAAAAGAAUCUUAUUCUACUUCAAUGCAGCUGUGUGGGACUAGAGGGGGUGGUAAUGCAGCAGCACUGUCGUUGUUUUGGCAAGCAAAAGAGGGACUGUCCUUUGUAUUAGCCUUCGAAUCGGACAGAGAAAGAAAUGCAGCUAUUAUGCUUGCCAGGAGAUUUGCGUUUGAUUGGAGUAUCGCACUUCUUGGACCGGGUGAUUGCACAAUUUGGAAUGGGUGAUUGCACAAUGAGAUCCUAACAAAAUGUCACAUCGGCUUCACACCUUCACCCAAUACUUAGCUUUCGGGAAAGCUUUUGCACGCUUGGUAGUCUUGCUGUACCGACUGGCUCGCUGCAGCUACACUCAGGGUCCAGACGCCCUGUGAACCACAUUGAAACAGCUACACUCAGGGUCCAGACGCCUUGUGAACCACAUUGAAAUUAGACGAGGACCAUGUGGUUGAAAACUUGAAAGUUUUGUCCAAAAUAGACUGAAAUUUUCACUGCCAACACGAAAUUUUCUAGGAACUUGGAUCUGUAACUAAUCUCUGAAAUGUUUCCCAAACUAAGGUUUGAAAAUCAACAACGUUCGCUAGGGGUGGGUGUACUGCAGAGUGAGGAGAAGAUUGUACAAUAAAAAGUAACCUGUUAUAGGGGCGGCAUGGUUUAUUAGAGGGACGGCAGUGUGAUAGUAAUGUCCCUCUAGUUGGUUUAGGGAUGUCCUAUAGGGGUGUAAAUUAACUAGAUUAUCCUCCCCAUUUUUUUAACCUAAAUCAAAGCUAAAUUGAAAAUUUGUUUUCUUUCUUCUUCUCUUCCCCUCCUCCC